rnacentral:rRNA from 1 species
UACGUAGGGUGCGAGCGUUGUCCGGAAUUAUUGGGCGUAAAAGAGCUCGUAGGCGGUGUGUCACGUCGGCCCGUGAAAAACCUGCAGCUUAACUGUGGGCGUGCGGUCGAUACGGGCAUCACUGGAGUUCGGCAGGGGGAGACUGGAAUUCCUGGUGUAGCGGUGAAAUGCGCAGAUAUCAGGAGGAAACACCGGUGGCGAAAGGGCGGGGUCUCUGGGGCCCGAUACUGACGCUGAGGGAGCGAAAAGCCAGGGGGAGCAAAACGGGG